AUGUCGCUUUAGCUUUAGCUAACUUGUGCUAGCGCCAGCGUUAGCAUUUGUUCUGGUCAACAUGGCGACAGUUCUACAGCAGGCGUUGGAACGGACGGAAAUAAAUAAAAUCCCGAAAGCCGUUCAGAACAAACUGGAGAAGUUUCUCACGGACAAGCAGACGGAACUGGAGUCUCUCAGAAUCAACCAUGAACGUUUUAAAACUGACUCCGAGCAGCAGUAUUUCAACGUGGAGAAGAAGCUCAUUGACAUGCAGGAACAACUGCUGUCCAACAGUAAAGAAUUUGAAGCUCUUAAGGAGGAGAACUCUCGGCUGACUGAAGAACUCAAGAAAUUUAAAGAAAAUGAGGAGCAGGAAACGUCAUCACAGCUGGCUAAACCCCAGAAAGCCAAAUUUGAGAUUGAAGCAGAAAACAAGGAGCUGUCCCGCCUGCUUGAGAAGAAAGCACAGGAGGUGGAAAAUCUCACUGAGGACCUCAAGCGCAUCACUGACAAACUGGAAGAAGUAAGUGCAGCAAAAAUGGAGAUUCAGCUCAAACUGGACGAGCUUCAGUCAUCUGAGCUCUCCAUACAGCAUCGAGAGAAGAGGAUGGAGCAGGAGAAGGAACUUCUCCAGAACCAGAACACGUGGUUAAACACUGAGCUGAAGAGCAAAACGGACGAGCUGCUCACAGUAACCAGAGAUAAAGGCAAAGAGAUCCUGCAGCUCCGGUGCUCCUUAGAGAGCAAAACUGAAGAGGUAACCAGGCUUCAGGAGGAGGUGAAAACUAUGAGGAGUUCAUGUGAGAACCUGCAGAAGAACACAGAGGAGCUGUUGGCCAAACUAAAAGAGGAAAAAGACCAGCGCAUCGCCAUGGAGGGAAAAUAUCGCAACGAACUCAAUGCCAACACACGACUCUGCAACUUAUACAAGAGCGCGGCGGCUGACUCCGGGACCAAGAACGUAGAGCUCACCAGAGCCGUAGAAGAACUCAACAAACUACUAAAAGAUGCAGCAGAAUGUAGCAAAGCGACCGAGAAGAAGUUUGCCGAGUUGGAGGGCUCCCAGGGGAAGGUGGAGGCGGAACUGCAGGAGAAGAUCAAAUGUCUGGAAAAAGAGCUGGAGAACGCUAAGACUAGCCUGGCAGAUUUCAAGCGCAGAGGAGUUCCCGCUCUGUCUGAAGAAGAGCUGACCAACAUGUCUCCAACGGCAGCUGCAGUGGCCAAAAUCGUCAAACCGGGCAUGAAACUCAUGGAGCUGUACAAUUCGUUCGUGGAUGCUCAGGACCAGCUGCAGCUGGAGAAGCUGGAAAACCGGCGCCUCAGCAAGACGCUAAACGAGAUCACGACGGAGGUGGAGCGUAAGGCGCCUUUGCUCAAGAGGCAGAAGGAGGAGUAUCAGAACAUGAAUAAGUCUAUGGGAAGCCUUUGUUCCAAAUUAGAGCAGGCUAUGAAGGAGAUGAACAGACUGCAGAAAGAAACGGACGAGGCCAAUAAACGAGCCUCGGAGCUGGAGAAAGACAAUCGGAGGUCCGAGAAACAGAUUGCGGAUAUGUCUCAGCAGGUGCGGGUGUUGCUGGUGGAGCUGGAGGAGGCCCGAGGGACCAAGGUUGUGCGUGAGGAGGUGAGCUCGGCUGUGAGCAGCACCUCGGAGGUCAAAGGGGCGCGGCAGGUCGCUUUCCGCAGCGUGGAGGAGCUUCAGCAGCAAAACCAGAACCUGCUGGUCCAGGUUAGAGAGCUGGAGGAGCAGCGGGAGAAGAGCCAGACUGAGGUCAAGACCGCCAGGCAGGUCGAGCUGGAGAAGGUGCAGAAGGAGCUGGAGCAGUUAAAGGAGCAGAGGAACCAGCAGAAGCAGCUGGCCGACUCGGCCACGAGGCAGAGAGACAUGUACCGCAUUCUUCUACAGACGGCCGGGGUGAACCUGCCUCCACAGAGCUCGGAGGGCGGCUCGGACUCUUCCGCACCCAGCAGGCCGGUGAUCAGCGCCACUCAGUCCGCCUCAAACAAGUCUGUAGCUGCCGAGGUGGCCCAGACCAUCCAGACUAAAGUGGCUUUCAAGCAGCUAAACGACGCUUUUACCACCUACAAGAAGGAGAAGGCCGAGAACGAUAAGCUGCUGAACGAGCAGAACGAACGUCUGCAGCGCCAGGUGUCUGACCUGAUCUCCCAGAAGGCCAAGCUCUCCUCUCAGCUGGAGUUUGCCUCUAAAAGGUACGAGAUGCUACACGACAACCUGAACGGCUACAGGAGGGAGAUCAACGCGAUGCGAGACCGAAUUCAGAAACUCUCCGCCACCAAUCAGAGAUACGAACAGAUCAUCCACACCAUGACCCAGGAUCUGAGGGAGGUCGGAGAGAAGCUAGCGCUCGCCGAGGUGCGAAACGAGAACCUGUGUAAGGAGCGGGACAUUUUGAAGCAGGUGGAGAGCAGACUGACCCAGGAGAAGGAGUCCAUCCUGGCUGAGCAGCGGAACCAGAACCUGCUGCUCACCAACCUCAAGUCCAUUCAGCUGACGAUGGAGCGCACGGAGGCCGACAGCAGGCAGCGCUGUGCCUCCCAGGUCGUGCAGCUGCAGAAGGAGAUCGCCCAGCUGAAAAAGAGAGUCGAACAGGAGGUCGAGCGGAGACACGCCGUGGAGCGCAACCAAGAUACUCAGCUGGUGGAGGCUAAAAAGCAGCUCUCCGCUCAGACCGCUCUUCACCAGAAGACCAAGGAGCUCCUGAAGAGGGCCGAGCUGCAGGUUUCCACUCUAAGACGACAGCUGAACAACUCUGAGAACAAACAGCCGAUCAAACCACCAUCCACCGCCGCAGCUCCCGGCGUUCCCGUACAGGAGGUGGAGGAACUGCGCGCACGCCUGCAGCAGGCCGAGGACGAUAAAUCCGACCUGCAGGAGCGUCUGACGAGCACCACCAAUAAUCUGGAGGAGUACAGGACCAUGGUGCUCAGCCUAGAGGAUUAUAUCAGCAAGGACAAACAGGCGGUUGAGGACGCCCUGGCGGCCGUAGAGACCCAGCUGAAGGAGGCCCAGGAGCUGAACAAGCAGCUGGAGAGCCGACUGGAGGAGGCAGAACGGGAGAAGCAGGAGCUGCACGACGAGAAGACCAAAGCUGUGGAGAACGUGGAGAAAAACGUGAAAGAUCUGAAGAGGAACGUGACGGAAUUGCAGACGGAGCUGCAGGAAGCCCUGCAGAGAGCCACAUCCGCCGUGGCCAAGGAGCAGCAAGCCACCCAGGACAGCCAGCAGCAGACCAAGCUGGCUACCGAGGCGCAGAAUAAAUACGAGCGGGAGCUCAUGCUUCACGCUGCUGACGUGGAGGCGUUGCAGACUGCUAAGAAACAGGCCCAAGAGGCAGUGCAGAAGCUCAAAGACCUGGAGGAGAAGGCCCAAAAAGCCACGUCUGAGCUGCAGCGAGGUCGCUCUGGCUGGGAACAGCAGGAGAAAAACUUAAAGGAGGAGCUGUUGAAGCAGAAGAAGCGUGUGGAGGACCUGCAGAAACAAAACAACAUGCUCCACGAAGAGAUGGAGAGUCUGAGCGUGAAGCUGGCCACCACGGUUCAGCAGCACGCAGAGCGAGACGUCCUGAACGUGUCUCUUAACGAGGACGGCAAGACUCAUGAGCAGAUCCUGGAGAUCCUCAGGUUUGUUCGUCGGGAGAAGGAGAUCGCCGAAGCUCGCUUUGAAGUGGCUCAAGUAGAAACUCAACGCUACCAGCAGCAAAUGGAGCACCUGGAGAAAGAGCUGAAGGAGCUCCAGGACUCCCUGACCGCCGAGCGAGAUAAACUGCAGGUCAUGGCGAAGGCCAUGGCUCAGCAGGAGGACAAGCUGAAGAGGCUGGAGAACCUGAACACGCUCACCGAGACCAAUAAAGUGCUGAAGGAGGAGAAGAACAGGCUAGAGCAGGAGAUGCAACAGUGUCGGGCCAAGGUGCAUAAGCUGGAGGUGGAUCUGAAGCCUCUGCAGGAGAGCAACACUGAGCUCAGCAUGAACAAUGGCAUGCUGCAGGCUGAGAAGCGACUGCUGGAGGAGGACGUCAAGCGCUGGAAGAACCGCAACCAGCAAUUAAUGAGCCAGCAGAAGGACAGCAAUCAGGAGGAGAGUAAGAAGCUCCAGUCAGAGAAGGAGGCCCAGCAGAAACGCAUCCAGCAGCUCACAGAGGAGGCGGCCAAACUGAAGAGCGAGCUGGCCAGAGCCAAUGCGUCCGCCACCACGGCACAGAGCCAGGGCCAGAACCUCAAGGAGACCAUGGGAAAACUCACGGCCGAGAGGGACAGUCUGAAGAAGGAGCUGGAAACCAAGACUCAGGACAUCCAGGAGAAACUUAAAACCAUCAUGCAGGUGAAGAAGAUCGGGCGCCGGUACAAGACCCAGUACGAGGAGCUCAAGGCACAGCAUGACAAGAUGGUCACGGAAGCAGCUGCUAAGCCUGCGCAGACGGAGGCGGUACCGCAGGACGCUCAGGAGGUCGAGAACCUGAAAGGCUCAUUAACCCAGGCUCAGAGCAGAACCACAGAGCUGGAGGCCCAAGUGGAGAACAUGCAGAAGGCGGUCGGGGAGAGAGGGGCCGAGGCGAAGGGCCUGCAGGAGCAGCUGGCUCAGGUUCAGCCGGAGCUAACGCGGCUCCGUGCAGAACUCCAGGAGAAGGGCACUCGGGAGGAGCAGCUCAGGCAGCAGAUCACCGAGAAGGAGGAGAAGACUAAGAAAGCCAUUCUGAUAGCCAAGCAGAGGAUCAGCCAGCUCAACGCUGCUAAGGAGAAACUGACCAAAGAAAACGAGGAGAUGAAGCAGCAGCGGGAGGAGCUGGAGGUCAGGAUGAGCGCGCUGAAGUCUCAGUACGAAGCACGCAUGAGCCGACAGGAACGCGAGCUGAGGGAGCUACGGGAGCAACAGGAGAGACACGGAGAACAGAGAGACGAGUCUUUGGAGCCGGGAAGCACCAAGGCUCAGGAGCAGCCGAGGCCGUCCGAAAGCAGACAGAUCAGCCUGAAACCCACUCCGGCUGCUGACCGAGGAAGCGCCAGCAGCAGUGAGCCUCCGACAGCUAAUAUCAAGCCCACUCCUGUAGCUGGAGCUGCCAGCAAACCCUCCCCUAUCCCGGGCAGCAAGGCCACGCCUAGAGCCAGCAUCCGGCCGAUGAUAACACCCGCUCCUGUCAGCACGCUGACACCCACCGCCACGGUCAUGCCCACUGCGCAGACUGAGACACAAGAAGCCCUGCAGCCGUCUGACGCUCCUGUAGAGCACGUCACCGUGUUCGGCAGCGGCUCGGUACGCUCGACCAGUCCGAACGUCCAGAGCACUCAGCCCAUCAUCUCGCUGCAGCAGAGCCAGACCACGGCGUUCGUCCAGCCCACUCAGCAGCAGGCCAAUCAGGAGCCGGCAGCCGCCGCGCCCAUGGUGGAGGCGGUGCACAGCUCUCAGAUGGAGAGGCCGUCCACCUCCACCACCCUGUUUGGCACAGUGACGGCGAGCGCAGGUUCUUCUCUACAGAAGCGUGUCAGAGAGGAGGAUCUGGAGAGCUCCAGCGAGGUGACCGACAGCACUCAGGACGACCUCGGGGAGCCUCCGGUGCUGAAGAAGAUCCGCUUCGUUCAGAGUCUCGGCAUGGAGGAGGAUAUCGGCACUGAAGAGAGCAACGAUGCCGAUCCUGCUACUCCUGGAGGUGCGCUGGAAGCCCCAGAUGCUAGUGAGGAUGGUUACUCUGCGUUGGCGGAGGGUGAAGACGAGUCGUCCCAGUCCGCCCCCGCUUAUCAGGCGAGCGAGUCUCAAGACUCGACUGACCAGCAGAGGCCGGAUGUCAUUACCAUCAACAGCGAAGACGAGGAGGGCGAAGAGGAGGCCGGGCAGUAUGAAGAUGAGGAGGAGGAUGAAGAUGGAGAGGCAGCGAUGGCAGAAGGAGAGGAGAGUAACCAAGGCAGUGGAGACGGGAACGAGCCGUUUGAAGCAGAUGAUGCUGAGGCAGCUGAAGCCACCGAGCUGGACACUGAGAAUAACGAGAGCCAGGAAGCAUCAGACUCGACCCAGAAACAUGCAGAUUCUCAGAGCAGUGGCGAGGCGAGCGUCAGCACGAUGGCUCCGAGCCCCGCGGCCGAACCCACCAGGGACGUGCAGCCCUCCACCAGCACAACCAGCGCCUCCAGCAGCUCCUUGUCCUCCCAGGCUCCCCGACUGCCCCAGUCUCCUCGCAGACCCCAUCACACACCCCCACCACGCCUCAACAUCCACCCCGUCCCCGAGCUCGGCCCCCCUCUCACACAGAGACAGUCAAACCAGACUAGACGCCCCUCAAUGAGCCGUGUACCACAGCUCACUCCUGGCAUUGGAAGCAUGCAACACUUCUUCGAUGACGACGACCGUAUGGUUCCCAGCACUCCGACUCUAGUGGUUCCUCACCGCAACGACGGCUUCGCCGAGGCUAUACAUUCUCCUCAGGUUGCCGGAGUCCCUCGAUUCCGUUUCGGUCCUCCAGAUGACAUUAUUUCCCAGACAGGCUCGUCUCACUCUGACCUGGGGCAGCUGGCGUCUCAAGGUGGAUUGGGCAUGUACGAGAGUCCUUUAUUUCUGGCGGCUCACGAUGAAGAAUCUGGAGGCAGGAGCGUCCCCACCACCCCUCUGCAGGUGGCAGCUCCAGUGAACGUUUUCGCGGAGAGUCACCCUUCAGACGUGGCCGAGUCGGCCUCACAGUCCGUCCCGAUGGUCAGCACGUCCACAGCGACCGUGCCCGGACCCGGAGACGACGGCGACGACGUCUUCAUGGCGGAAGCGGAAAGUGAAGGGACCAGUGGAGAGGCAUCGCUGGAGGGCCAGUCUGAACUGGUGCCAGCUCAGCCUUCCGACGACGCCAGCCUUCCAUCCACCAGCCAAGAGCCGACCUCCAGCUCCGUUCCAGACACGAGCAGCAGUCAGCAGCCCAGACCUACAGAGAGAGCUCGAACCUCCAACAGGGGGCAUCUCAUCAGAAGGGGAGUGGGCUUCACUCGGGGCGGUCGAGGACGAGGUUAUAACAGAAACGCCCAUUUGUAAUAGUUUGACACCUGAAAUCGCAGUUUGCACUUGAUAACCAGUGCACUGACCCACAUGUUAGUUUUGUACAUACGCUGAUAGAUUUCGAUGUUGUUUAAAACUUCGCUUUUGCCUUUUUAAUUGUACUUAAAGAUUUUCAUUCGAUCUUUUCUUUUUUUACUUUAUGAAUGAUGAAGCCUUUCAGUGUUUUGCUGAUAAAUCAAUAAAGCUGUUCAGUGUUUUUGCUAAUACGUGGUGGCUUGCAGACGCGCUGUGAUUCGCUCUUUAAGGGCAGCCGAGCCAGUUCCUCAGGUCGUUCUGCUCAGCGGACGGUUUAGCAGGAGACGCCAGGGCAGGGAUCUCGCCGACGACCUUGAUGGGCAGUUGUAGCCUAACGAUUAAGGUACUGGGCUAGUAAGCAGAAACCCCAUCUGACCCUACCUCCCACAGCCUCCAAACAAGUCGGGUCAACAACUGUCUGUUCAGAAUUAGUCUACGUUCAACCAGGUGCACAUUUUUUGUCCAGGAAGCGAGUAUAACAGUGUAUGAGUCUGAGAGGACACGGGUGCAGGGUCUUACUGCAGUGAGCGCUGUAGUCGGAGCAGCAGGAGUUGUAGCGGGUGCAGUCAGGGUCACACUCACACUCCCUCCCUCUGCGAAACGCUUCCUGACAACGACCCCGGCAUGAAGCACCUGCCAAAAAACAGCGAGCUUUAUCUUCAUCGUCCUCACGUGAACGUCUGUCAUGAUUAUUACAUUUGUGGAUCUUACGGUUGGUGCAAACUUCCUCAUAGUCCUUGCAGCAGUCAUCGUGGGUGAGACAGCCUUCAUCACAGCUACACACCUGACCACGGGAGAACGGUUCUCCACAGCGGUCCUUACAGCUCACUACACACACACACACACACACACACACACAUGAAAUAAAAAACAAUUAUUAAUUCAUCAGCCUUCACUCUUCUGAACAGGCUUUC